rnacentral:lncRNA from 10 species
UAGGAGGCAGACCCCACCAUCACCCCCAUUCUGCAAAGAACGGAGCCGAGAAAGAGAGAGAAACGGCUGCCCACGGCCGGGAAGAGCAGGAAUUGGAACCAGGGUUUGGGUCCAGAGGAGGAGCUCUCACCACAGCGCUGCUGGAGGCCUGGGGCCCCCGGAACUGAGGAUAUAUCAUGAAUAAUUUCAAGCCCCUUGGGUUUAUCUAGGUACAGGGCCAUCCUGAAGACAGACGCCCCACUCUCUAGAAGCCAUUACUCAGUGGGGCAAAGGACGUGGGCUUUGAUGGGAGACACACAGGCGGCUGUGAGAGCCCAGCAGAAACAAUUCCGCUCCCACGGCUCCCGUCCAUGCCCUCCCACUGCUACCUCAGUGGCUGGCUCCCAUCUCCUUCAAACAUCGAAUAAAUGCCUCCCUCACUGGGGGAUACCACACUGCCCCCUUCCCUUA